rnacentral:lncRNA from 1 species
AUGUGCAGCAUCAUGUUUGCAUUCGCUCCUUUACGGCUCCUCCAAAUCUUAUCCUGGAACCUCAGGAUGCAAUUGUGUCUUGUUGUCUAUCUCCACAGAGCUUUGCUGGAUGGUGAAAGCCUGAGGGGAGAUGUGUCUGUGUUAAAUCAGCCAAGAAACAUUUCCAUCACAGAUGCAGUUUUCAAUUCUCAAGGCGUUAAAAAGAAUUACCAGACUCAGCUGUCUGCCAGCCACAAAACCACUUCUCUCUCAUCUAUUCGCAGAAUAGCAGAACCAACGGUAAUGUCUGCCACUGUAGUUUUAAGUAGAAAAUCUGUAGCCUCAAAUGGAAAACCAAAGAUUUCAGAGAAACUUGCUGAUACUGGUGCAAGAAAGGCAGAAAUUUGGGAAACCCCUUAUCCAAAAAUAAUGCAGGAUGGAGCUGUUGAAAAUUUCAGACCACAGGAAGUUUGUGAAAAAGUCACGUAUGCUGAGCCUUUGUCGCCUCCUAAUGAGCUAGAAACUAAUCCUAAAGCACCAUCAGGGGAAGAGGAAGUGGACUGGAACGAUGUUGAUGUUGAAUGCGCUGAUGAAAGGCCAGUUGUUGAGUCAGUUGUCAGUUGUCAGGUUGAAUCUUCCCUCAGCGCUGAGCAAUCCUUCAAUGAUGAAGUUGGCCAUCACCCGUUUACAGCACCCAGCUAUACACCAUAUCAUGCAAAUGUGAAAGAAGAGCCCAGCAGUUUCCCAGAUGAGUCUGAUGAGGAUGUAGCUUUGUUAGGGGAAGCUGAAGAGCAAUAUAUGCAACAGGAUCCACUUGAUACAUGUGUAAAGGAAGCAUGUACAGACAAAGAUACAGGGCAUAUUCAAGAGGAGAGUUCAGAUUCUGAAACAGAGGCAGUGCUUGAACCGACACCUGAAUCCAGGCCUAGCAGCCCAGAAUCACAAUGCGAGCCUCCAGAAAGUGUUUUUAACCAAGCUGUUGAUAAAAAUGUAGAUCUAAAUGUGACAAAUGAAGUUGAUCCAGCUGAAAUAAAACAAGAAAUAACUUGUUCUAUGAUAGAGACAAGCCAAAUGGAUGUCGAAGAUAAAUUAUACCCUGACGGAGAAGAGAUGGAUACAUGGGACAGUGUAAUAGAAAGGAAGACUGAUGUAAAGAAAGAUGAUUGCAUUACAAAUGAUGAAGUAAAAGGACAACAUGCUGAACCAGAGGAAGACAUAUCAGCAAGAGAACAAGUGAAUGAGCAGAACGGAAGCAUUAUGCAGGAUUUUGCUACAGUUGUACAGCAAGACAACACUAUGACUUCUUCCCUGAUAGACAAGCUAGCAGAUGACCAAGAGCACGCUGCAUUAGAGCAAGAGCUUGCUCCACCUCCUGAUAACGAAGGAGAUGAUGAUGAAGAAGACUCUCAAAAUGUUUCCAUGUCGUGGAAGACUGAGCUGGAGGGUGACAGUUAUGCUCAGGACAACACUCUGGCUGAUACUCGUCCUCUGAUCCGAUACAAAAGCGAUGAGACUGAUGCCAACACUCAGGCGUCACACAUGGAUGAGAGUGAGUCCAGUGAAGGUGAGCAGGAAAAGAAGAUCGGAGAGACAGGAACUGGAACGUGGAGUGAAAGCAAGGCAAAGAAAUUUGGAACCAUGGAAGAUCUGUGUGAAGAAGUUGAAGGAGAAACAAUGGAUGAUGAAUAUAAUCUGAGUUACACUCAUAUCAAAGAUGGGGAUGAUGAUGACGGUACAACUGUAACUGAGCGCGUUAUCCCGGUGAAUGAUAAAGAACGUGCAGAAGAAGUGAUCAGAGAUGCCAGUGAGGGACAUUCAGAUGAAGAAACUGAAGAACUAACAGAACACAUGGUACCUGCAAACGUGGCCUAUGAUGAAGAGUUGGAAACGGACAAACUUGUGGAGCAGGAAUUAGAGAAUCUGUGCACAGACAGCUAUAGCACUCACUUUGCACAGCAGCAAGACAGCGACCAACUGCUACACACGAAUGACGAGUUUGUCCAUGAGAUAACAGAGGAAGAAGAGGACAUGUCGUCCGGUGAGACUGAAAUAAGGGUGAACCACGAACUUGUAUCUUCCACUACAAUUAUAGAUCAAACUUCUGAAAACCCAAGUUUCAGGGAUUUGGCAGAUAUGACGCAUCACACAGACACUGUGGAUAUAGAGGACAUCCACUAUGAAGAUCAAGAAUCGAAAGAUACCCCAGAGGAAAGGGAAGAAGAGUGUGGGCCCAAUGUGUCCAUGGUGACGCAAGCUGAUGUAGCAGAAGAACAAACAGGAUUUAGCGAAUUUAUGAGCAGACCUGAGAUGGAAGAAAUCAGCAACUCAGAGGAUCCAAAUUCUGUGUUACCCGUGACAACAGAUGAGGAAAAUGUGCAGGAUAUGGCAGCUCAGGAUGAGGUAAAAGAGGUUUUCCCUCUUGAAGUUAUCGGUCAGUCUGAAGAACAAGUUGAGAGUGAUAAAGAUUGCCAGGAGCUUCCUGAAGCUGAAUGGGAAGUUCUAGGAGACCCAAAAGAGGAUUUUGAAGCCAGGGAUGAGAUUGAACAUGAUGAUUGUCAAAAAGUGCCAGAAACCACAAAUGAGGGUGAUGUUACACACCAGGAGGAGCCCCUUGAGAUUCCCCAUGAAAGUACAGCUGAUGAAAAUGGUAUUUUUAAGGCAAAUGAUCCAGCAAACAAUGGGCUCAAUGGUUUCUUUUCCUCUGGCAUAAAGAGUGACUUCUGGGUGUCCUCUUUAGAGAGCGGUGCCACCUGUGAACCAGAUGAUGCCUGCAAUGAAGCAGCUGAGCAAACUAAUGAGAAUGUGGGAUUUGCUGACAACCUAGUCUGGGAGAUUACAGGAAACCAGAAUGUGUUUAACGGCAAGUCAAGGGUGGAUAUUGAGUCAGCGCUCACUACUAAGAGCGAGCAGGAACAAAUGCAUAAAGAAGUAAAGCAAGUGUUGGGUAGAAAUGUUAGCGAGGGGGAGUUGGUUCAUUCUGAGGAGUCUGAAGCUGAAGCUGAAUUGUGGUCAUCUGGGGAGGAACCAGCAUAAAAAUGUGUGAAGUUUUAGAUGUAGUGUUAGUCAAAAGUGUGUUUUCUUUAAAACCAAAGUUGUGCCUUGGUGCGCUCCUUAGUGACACUAACCACCAAUGUGCCAAUUCUGUCUACAAACAUACUGAGCACUUGCUGUGUUUCACGUUUUCCUCAUUCCUAAUUGCUUAAAGGUUUCAGUCAAUUAGUGUGCAUGCUGUGGAAAAAGAUUGAGGGCUUCUGUAUGAGGGAACGGCAUGAUGACAGAACAAAGAAUGUCAUUUGAAAGUCAAAGCGUUUAUUGAUUGUUUGCUAAUCUGAUUGUACUGACUAGUGGGAAUCAAUAAUAGCAGAAGGGUAGAAUUACUUGUAGAGCUACUAUUCAAAAAAACAACAGACAGCUAGUGUUUCUGUUAGUGAGUUAUUUCAUUUAACUAGACCAGAGUUGACUUGUUGCAUGUUUUACACAUGUAAAAUGAAUAACUGGUGGUAAAAUGGCAUAAAUCAGUUUAGAUAAGCAGAUAGUUGUGUUUGUAUUUUGGCUGAUCUCAAAGAAUAAAGGUUUUUCCAUUCAUGAAAAUAUAUAAUACACUGCGGUACAGUUACAGUUCAAAAUAAACAGUAGCUUCUAGACAUUCUGUCUUUUUGUCUUUUUGAACUUAUUUGCUUGCACAGUGCCCCUCAUCCAUGCAUUUAAUUCCACAUCACAAUGACAUUUUCAUUGGUGUAAAUAUACUCCUACUUAUCACUAGUAUAGGUUAAAGCUAAACUGAAAUAUUUUAAUGGUCAAGUUUGUUUUUGGUAAACAUUAUUAACAUCAUAUUAGCCUUUUCCACACAACUCAGUUAGCGCCUGAAUUUAUUAACCCUUUACACAUUUUUACAGAACCUUGAAAGCCAAAUUAUUGCUUUAGAACGAUAACAUUUCUUUUUACAUGCCUGUCUUUUUUACUCAUUAUAGAACGACAGGAACAGUGUUCAGCUCUCUUUUGGUUGUCACACAUUUAGUUGAAUAUGUAUAAAAUCUUCCUGCAGGCUAGAAUCCAACAUGAGAAAUUAAGCUUUUAAUAACAAAUAAAUGACCAGUAGAUUUUAUUUGGGUUUAAAUCAGAUCAAACGAAAACCUGUUUGAUGUUAAUGAGACAAGCCUCUCAAAAGUGCUGAACUUUUCCUUUAGAGUACAGCUGUAUUCUUAAGAGAAGGUCAAGAAAAGCAGCUGCUUGCCGCCUUCCAGCAACAUCCAUCUCCAUUUCCUUUGGGGUUUGCAUAGAAGAAGGGAGUAAAGCUCGUAUGUGCCUGGACUUGGCAAC